CCUUAGGAAAAUGUGGUCUUUCAACUGGACAUCAUUCUUCUGACAAAGACUAACUCUAGGGCUAUGAAGUCUAGGGAAGCAAAGCAGUUCCUUCAUUUUGUGAAUGGAUGUGGUUCCCAUGUGGCGAACCACACAUUCUGAGUAUCUGUGUAGCAAUCUACCUUCCUAUUGAUCUGGCUGGAUAGUUUAGUAGUUUUGGUUCAACAGAGCUGCGGUAGAAGUGAAACUCCCCGAGAGUCCUUGUUUCUAUACAGUAUGUAUAGAAUGAGGCUUGGCCAAUCCCCAUCCAGAUCCUCAACCCUCCUAUUGUUCCCCAAGCUGUGACUUCAUCACUCUGAUCACCUGAGAGGUGAGAGAGCUGGGGCAGGGAAUUCUGUGUACACUCUCAGAUCUCAAAUGGCGGAGGUUGAACCAGGGGCCAGUUUAUUCCCAAAUGGUGUUCCUUGGCUCUAUGCCCUGUUUGCUAUGCUUUUUGUAUUUUUUCUCUUUGUCAUGUUCUCUCCCUUUUUACUUGAGAUAGACCAACAUAUAAAGAAAUUCUUGCUCAGAUGCAGGUAUUCUCUGCAUAAUGCUCUGCGUAAGAAUAAAGAAAAUGAGAUAAAGAUGGACCAUCUGGGAAGCCCAGGCUGUCCUCUGGAGUCACCAAGGAGAGAAGUUCUGGGAAGGAAGGAAGAUGGGAUGGGAAGAGAUCCCUCGCUACUUGUGAGGGUAGCAAGAGAGCCCAGGGGUUCUGAGGUUGAGAUCUGUACCCCUGGACCAUCCGUUUGAGAGUGGCUGAGGCUCUAAGGAAUCACCUGUGACAUCAUAUCCCAGACAUGAGAGGGCUUCUUAGACCUCAUUAUGUAUGUUUAUAUGAAAAAAAAGAUAAUAAAUAUUUUGAGA